rfam:Triticum aestivum genome assembly, contig: Triticum_aestivum_CS42_TGACv1_scaffold_515846_6BS
GACAUACUCUCUCCGUCCUAAAAAUUUUGUCUUAAAUUUGUCUAAUUACGGAUGUAUCAAGUCAUGUUUUAGUAUUAGAUACAUCCGUAUCUAAAAAAAUGUAAGAUAAAUUUUUUGAAACAGAGGGAGUAUUAA